rnacentral:rRNA from 1 species
ACGGGAGGUCCAAGCGUUAUUCGGAAUUAUUGGACGUAAAGCGCAUGUAGGCGGUCGGGUAUGUCAGAUGUGAAAGCCCAGGGCUUAACCCUGGAAGUGCAUUUGAAACUGCCUGGCUUGAGUCUCGGAGAGGAAAGUGGAAUUCCCAGUGUAGAGGUGGAGUUCGUAGAUAUUGGGAGGAACACCGGUGGCGAAAGCGACUUUCUGGACGAAGACUGACGCUCAGAUGCGAAAGCGUGGGUAGCAAACAG